GACGAACGCUGGCGGCGUGCCUAACACAUGCAAGUCGAGCGAAGUGAGUACUACGGUACGAACUUAGCGGCGGACGGGUGAGUAACGCGUGGACAAUCUACCCUGUAGACUGGGAUAACACCUCGAAAGGGGUGCUAAUACCGGAUAAUGUCGAGAAGCGGCAUCGCUUUUCGAAGAAAGGAGAGAAUCCGCUAUAGGAGGAGUCCGCGUCCCAUUAGCUAGUUGGUGAGGGCAACGGCCCACCGAGGCGACGAUGGGUAGCCGGCCUGAGAGGGUGAACGGCCACACUGGAACUGAGACACGGUCCAGACUCCUACGGGAGGCAGCAGUGGGGAAUAUUGUGCAAUGGGGGAAACCCUGACACAGCAACGCCGCGUGAGCGAAGAAGGCCUUCGGGUUGUAAAGCUUAAUAGUAUGGGAAGAUAAUGACGGUACCAUACGAAAGCCCCGGCUAACUACGUGCCAGCCGCCGCAGUAAGAC
rnacentral:rRNA from 1 species